rnacentral:rRNA from 1 species
AGCGUACACGGUGGAUGCCCUGGCAGUCAGAGGCGAUGAAGGACGUGCUAAUCUGCGAUAAGCGUCGGUAAGGUGAUAUGAACCGUUAUAACCGGCGAUUUCCGAAUGGGGAAACCCAGUGUGUUUCGACACACUAUCAUUAACUGAAUCCAUAGGUUAAUGAGGCGAACCGGGGGAACUGAAACAUCUAAGUACCCCGAGGAAAAGAAAUCAACCGAGAUUCCCCCAGUAGCGGCGAGCGAACGGGGAGCAGCCCAGAGCCUGAAUCAGUGUGUGUGUUAGUGGAAGCGUCUGGAAAGGCGCGCGAUACAGGGUGACAGCCCCGUACACAAAAAUGCACAUACUGUGAGCUCGAUGAGUAGGGCGGGACACGUGGUAUCCUGUCUGAAUAUGGGGGGACCAUCCUCCAAGGCUAAAUACUCCUGACUGACCGAUAGUGAACCAGUACCGUGAGGGAAAGGCGAAAAGAACCCCGGCGAGGGGAGUGAAAAAGAACCUGAAACCGUGUACGUACAAGCAGUGGGAGCACGCUUAGGCGUGUGACUGCGUACCUUUUGUAUAAUGGGUCAGCGACUUAUAUUCUGUAGCAAGGUUAACCGAAUAGGGGAGCCGAAGGGAAACCGAGUCUUAACUGGGCGUUAAGUUGCAGGGUAUAGACCCGAAACCCGGUGAUCUAGCCAUGGGCAGGUUGAAGGUUGGGUAACACUAACUGGAGGACCGAACCGACUAAUGUUGAAAAAUUAGCGGAUGACUUGUGGCUGGGGGUGAAAGGCCAAUCAAACCGGGAGAUAGCUGGUUCUCCCCGAAAGCUAUUUAGGUAGCGCCUCGUGAAUUCAUCUCCGGGGGUAGAGCACUGUUUCGGCAAGGGGGUCAUCCCGACUUACCAACCCGAUGCAAACUGCGAAUACCGGAGAAUGUUAUCACGGGAGACACACGGCGGGUGCUAACGUCCGUCGUGAAGAGGGAAACAACCCAGACCGCCAGCUAAGGUCCCAAAGUCAUGGUUAAGUGGGAAACGAUGUGGGAAGGCCCAGACAGCCAGGAUGUUGGCUUAGAAGCAGCCAUCAUUUAAAGAAAGCGUAAUAGCUCACUGGUCGAGUCGGCCUGCGCGGAAGAUGUAACGGGGCUAAACCAUGCACCGAAGCUGCGGCAGCGACGCUUAUGCGUUGUUGGGUAGGGGAGCGUUCUGUAAGCCUGCGAAGGUGUGCUGUGAGGCAUGCUGAAGGUAUCAGAAGUGCGAAUGCUGACAUAAGUAACGAUAAAGCGGGUGAAAAGCCCGCUCGCCGGAAGACCAAGGGUUCCUGUCCAACGUUAAUCGGGGCAGGGUGAGUCGACCCCUAAGGCGAGGCCGAAAGGCGUAGUCGAUGGGAAACAGGUUAAUAUUCCUGUACUUGGUGUUACUGCGAAGGGGGGACGGAGAAGGCUAUGUUGGCCGGGCGACGGUUGUCCCGGUUUAAGCGUGUAGGCUGGUUUUCCAGGCAAAUCCGGAAAAUCAAGGCUGAGGCGUGAUGACGAGGCACUACGGUGCUGAAGCAACAAAUGCCCUGCUUCCAGGAAAAGCCUCUAAGCAUCAGGUAACAUCAAAUCGUACCCCAAACCGACACAGGUGGUCAGGUAGAGAAUACCAAGGCGCUUGAGAGAACUCGGGUGAAGGAACUAGGCAAAAUGGUGCCGUAACUUCGGGAGAAGGCACGCUGAUAUGUAGGUAAGGUCCCUCGCGGAUGGAGCUGAAAUCAGUCGAAGAUACCAGCUGGCUGCAACUGUUUAUUAAAAACACAGCACUGUGCAAACACGAAAGUGGACGUAUACGGUGUGACGCCUGCCCGGUGCCGGAAGGUUAAUUGAUGGGGUUAGCGCAAGCGAAGCUCUUGAUCGAAGCCCCGGUAAACGGCGGCCGUAACUAUAACGGUCCUAAGGUAGCGAAAUUCCUUGUCGGGUAAGUUCCGACCUGCACGAAUGGCGUAAUGAUGGCCAGGCUGUCUCCACCCGAGACUCAGUGAAAUUGAACUCGCUGUGAAGAUGCAGUGUACCCGCGGCAAGACGGAAAGACCCCGUGAACCUUUACUAUAGCUUGACACUGAACAUUGAGCCUUGAUGUGUAGGAUAGGUGGGAGGCUUAGAAGUGUGGACGCCAGUCUGCAUGGAGCCGACCUUGAAAUACCACCCUUUAAUGUUUGAUGUUCUAACGUUGACCCGUAAUCCGGGUUGCGGACAGUGUCUGGUGGGUAGUUUGACUGGGGCGGUCUCCUCCUAAAGAGUAACGGAGGAGCACGAAGGUUGGCUAAUCCUGGUCGGACAUCAGGAGGUUAGUGCAAUGGCAUAAGCCAGCUUGACUGCGAGCGUGACGGCGCGAGCAGGUGCGAAAGCAGGUCAUAGUGAUCCGGUGGUUCUGAAUGGAAGGGCCAUCGCUCAACGGAUAAAAGGUACUCCGGGGAUAACAGGCUGAUACCGCCCAAGAGUUCAUAUCGACGGCGGUGUUUGGCACCUCGAUGUCGGCUCAUCACAUCCUGGGGCUGAAGUAGGUCCCAAGGGUAUGGCUGUUCGCCAUUUAAAGUGGUACGCGAGCUGGGUUUAGAACGUCGUGAGACAGUUCGGUCCCUAUCUGCCGUGGGCGCUGGAGAACUGAGGGGGGCUGCUCCUAGUACGAGAGGACCGGAGUGGACGCAUCACUGGUGUUCGGGUUGUCAUGCCAAUGGCACUGCCCGGUAGCUAAAUGCGGAAGAGAUAAGUGCUGAAAGCAUCUAAGCACGAAACUUGCCCCGAGAUGAGUUCU